rnacentral:rRNA from 1 species
UACGUAGGGUGCAAGCGUUGUCCGGAAUUAUUGGGCGUAAAGAGCUCGUAGGCGGCUAGUCGCGUCGGCUGUGAAAACCUGGGGCUCAACCCCGGGCCUGCAGACGAUACGGGCUAGCUAGAAUUCGGUAGGGGAGACUGGAAUUCCUGGUGUAGCGGUGAAAUGCGCAGAUAUCAGGAGGAACACCGGUGGCGAAGGCGGGUCUCUGGGCCAUUACUGACGCUGAGGAGCGAAAGCGUGGGGAGCGAACAGG